rnacentral:sRNA from 1 species
UCAAAAUUAUAAAUGCAAAAAAUAGAUGUAGAGUCUUUUUGUUUUUCUGUGUUUUUUUUGAACGAUGCUUUUCAUUUUCUUUGACUUUUUGGUCUGUAUGAUUGAAUCUUUAACCAAUGGGUUAUUGGUUUUUCGUUGUUUGUGACAAAUUAGAAACAUAAUAA